rnacentral:rRNA from 1 species
GAUGAACGCUGGCGGCGUGCCUAAUACAUGCAAGUCGAGCGAACGGACGAGAAGCUUGCUUCUCUGAUGUUAGCGGCGGACGGGUGAGUAACACGUGGAUAACCUACCUAUAAGACUGGGAUAACUUCGGGAAACCGGAGCUAAUACCGGAUAAUAUUUUGAACCGCAUGGUUCAAAAGUGAAAGACGGUCUUGCUGUCACUUAUAGAUGGAUCCGCGCUGCAUUAGCUAGUUGGUAAGGUAACGGCUUACCAAGGCAACGAUGCAUAGCCGACCUGAGAGGGUGAUCGGCCACACUGGAACUGAGACACGGUCCAGACUCCUACGGGAGGCAGCAGUAGGGAAUCUUCCGCAAUGGGCGAAAGCCCGACGGAGCAACGCCGCGUGAGUGAUGAAGGUCUUCGGAUCGUAAAACUCUGUUAUUAGGGAAGAACAUAUGUGUAAGUAACUGUGCACAUCUUGACGGUACCUAAUCAGAAAGCCACGGCUAACUACGUGCCAGCAGCCGCGGUAAUACGUAGGUGGCAAGCGUUAUCCGGAAUUAUUGGGCGUAAAGCGCGCGUAGGCGGUUUUUUAAGUCUGAUGUGAAAGCCCACGGCUCAACCGUGGAGGGUCAUUGGAAACUGGAAAACUUGAGUGCAGAAGAGGAAAGUGGAAUUCCAUGUGUAGCGGUGAAAUGCGCAGAGAUAUGGAGGAACACCAGUGGCGAAGGCGACUUUCUGGUCUGUAACUGACGCUGAUGUGCGAAAGCGUGGGGAUCAAACAGGAUUAGAUACCCUGGUAGUCCACGCCGUAAACGAUGAGUGCUAAGUGUUAGGGGGUUUCCGCCCCUUAGUGCUGCAGCUAACGCAUUAAGCACUCCGCCUGGGGAGUACGACCGCAAGGUUGAAACUCAAAGGAAUUGACGGGGACCCGCACAAGCGGUGGAGCAUGUGGUUUAAUUCGAAGCAACGCGAAGAACCUUACCAAAUCUUGACAUCCUUUGACAACUCUAGAGAUAGAGCCUUCCCCUUCGGGGGACAAAGUGACAGGUGGUGCAUGGUUGUCGUCAGCUCGUGUCGUGAGAUGUUGGGUUAAGUCCCGCAACGAGCGCAACCCUUAAGCUUAGUUGCCAUCAUUAAGUUGGGCACUCUAAGUUGACUGCUGGUGACAAACCGGAGGAAGGUGGGGAUGACGUCAAAUCAUCAUGCCCCUUAUGAUUUGGGCUACACACGUGCUACAAUGGACAAUACAAAGGGCAGCGAAACCGCGAGGUCAAGCAAAUCCCAUAAAGUUGUUCUCAGUUCGGAUUGUAGUCUGCAACUCGACUACAUGAAGCUGGAAUCGCUAGUAAUCGUAGAUCAGCAUGCUACGGUGAAUACGUUCCCGGGUCU